GUGUUAGCCAGGAUGGUCUCGAUCUCCUGACCUCAUGAUCCGCCCGCCUUGGCCUCCCAAAGUGCUGGGAUUACAGGCAUGAGCCACCUCGCCCGGCCCACAUGCUAUCAAAUGGACCCGGUGGAUCAUCCAAACAAAGAAAUUCUCUCACUGCAAGGCUUUUCAAAGGAAAAAAAAAAUGAUCUGAAGUACAAAUAAGUUUGCAAAAGAUAGCAAAAAGCAAAAGUUACUUUGAAGCUGUACAGUGUUUUAAACAAGUUGGUUAUGUGUUUUCAUACAAGUAACUAAAUAUAAAUAUAAAACUAUAGAAGAUGCAAAGAUCUUAAGGUGUUUUCUAAGAUCUUAGAACAUAAAUAUCACAAAUUUAUUGUUACAUACAAACUAUGGGGCAUAAAACAUACUUCACAAUAAUGGUUCAAGAGACCAACAUAGUGAAUAGCCUCUUUAUGAUUUUCAAAGAAAUAUUAGUCUGAACUAG
ensembl:lncRNA novel transcript, antisense to SNX16